AAUCGGUCUAUAUAUAAAGUAUCUAUCUAAUGAUAUGAAUCCGAUUCGCUCGAAGGUCUCGAAUUAAGAAAUAAAAAAAGAUAGACGAAAGCAAUGUCUUUUCGGCGCUAUCCAAGGAUCGUGAUUUAGUCAAGGACACAUUACCACGCGUAAAGUAGUCGUUCGUCGGUGUUAUCAAAGAGAACGAGAGAGAGAGAGAGAGAGAUAGAGGAUGAUCGAUGGGGGGAUUAGAUCUUCCGAUCGUCAGACAUGGAUCGGACGAUUUCAUUUCGUAAUAAUUCUGCGAGGUUUUUCGUAUCUCAAAAAUUGAAAAUGUUCACGGUACGAGGUUGAAGAAAAGAAAAGAACAGAAAAGAAAAGAACAGAAAAAGAAAGGAGAGCAAAAAGAAAAGGAGGAAGAAAAAGAGAAAAGGAAAAAAUCCAUUUCCAACCACGUCCAUUUCUCUUCCUUCUCGGGAAUCUCUUUCUGUCGAGAAGACAUUCUCGAGGGAGAAGAAGAGAAACGGGAAAGGAAAGAUGAGGUUAAAUAAGAAAAAAAAAAAAAAAAAAAAAAAAAA